GACAUAUAAUAGGUGAGAGAGCAAUACAAUUUUGCUCAAUUCAUUUUUUUUUUAAUUUCGAAGCCCGGGACGGCCGGGACGCUUAACUCGGGGCGAAUGGUCAGCUAAGUUUAGGUAAUUGGCUUGAAGAAGCUGAAUGGGUACGAGCGCUUGAAUACUUUCUCAAACUAAUUAACAUUGGAUAUUUAAUCUAGACUAAGAAUAAGUUAUGUUUUUGUAACUUCGAGUGUACAUAUUUUACUACAAAGUAGUAUGUUUGAACACUCACCAUGCAUUGCACAUUUUCGGGAAAAUCACAUUUAGCGGUAUGUAUAUUGAAGUUCUGUGCAGGACUCAGUGUUUGCCGUGAAAACGAUUGUUUGUGAAUCCUCAACAAUGGGACACUGAUCCCUUACUAUUGGCGCAACGACAAUCGGUACUAAAGUGCUUGUACUGAAAUCAUUAUUGGUGGUUGUUUGUGGAGAUUGGGUCGUUGUUGUAACGGUUGGUCUCGUUGUAAAAGGUGCCGCAGUUUCUACCGGCUCUUCGGGUUCAACCGGGUCCGCCGGAUCUAACUCGCCGGCGUCAUCCAAAAAGCAAUAAACAUUUUCCUCGUCAUCACAAGCAUCACCAUCGAAAUAUUGUCCUUCAUCACAUUCGCCUGAAUAGGAAUCAUCACCAUUACAAUAUAUAUACAUUUGACAACUCUGUAAGCUCUUUACAAAUGUGUCUUCGGGCUCAUUUUCGCAUUCUUCAAAUAUUUCCGCGUUUGUUAUACGUAAGUAAGGUAGCAGGAAAAUUAAUACAAUUAAAAUAAUUUGAUACAGCGUUUUCUGCAUUUUAUUCAAAAUUUAAAACCAAAAAAUUGCAACAAUUUAUUCUAAUUAUUAAUAUCUGUAUUCCUUUUAUUUUUAUUAAGCACUAUCUAUUUUAUCUCAACACAAUUCUUUUCAACUUCACGAACUUCUAUUAACUGAAUGCAGAGUCUGAGUGAACAUUAACUUUAUUACAUACAUUUGUACGUUUUAAGGUCGAUCAUAACGGAAGUUUUCAACAUAUGUAUAUUAUGUACAAUCAAUACCUUUUAAUAAAAUCAAUUUUCUUCUCUUUA